ACAGGUUUUUACUAUGUUGGCCAGGCUGGUCUCAAACUCCUGACCUCAAGUGAUCUGCCUUCCUCAGCCUCCCAAAGUGCUGGGAUUACAGGUGUGAGAAGGCAUUCUUAUAGAUGACAGCUCCAUACAUGUUGUUGCUCCUGAACACCUUCCUGUGGGACACGAUGUGGAGGUGGAAGACAACGGUGUUGAUGAUCCUGACCUUCUACUCAGUGGUCAGUGGAAACUUGACAGCAUAGUGGUCAAGCUUGUUUCUCCUGGGGGCAAUCUUCCGAGGAUAUCUGGGCUGCCUCCGGAGUCGCUGUGUCUUGGGCCACCAGAAAGCAUGUAAGGACAAAACCAGAAGACAUCAAUUUGCAAACAAGAAAGUGGGCUCUCAUCAGACACUGGGUCUGCUGACUUGAUCUUGGACUUCCUAGCCUCCAGAACUGUGAACAUUAUAUGUUUUUUUAACCACCUAGUCUAUAAUAAUUUGUUAUAGUAGCCUGAAUUUACUGAUACAACAAUAUGGAGUCUUCCUAUCCAUGAACAUGAAAUAUAUCUCCAUUUAUUUAGUUCUUGUUUACUUUCAUUCAGCAGAGAUUUAUAGUUUUUCUCAUAUAGAUCUGGUUUAUGUUUUGUCAGAUUUAUACCUAAGUACUUUGAUUUUGGGGGUGCUAUUGUAAAUGAUAUUAUGUUUUAAAUUUUAAAUCACCUUUGUUCAUUGCUGGGAUAUAGAAAAGUGAUUGACUUUUGCAUAUUAACCUCAUAUCCUGCAACCUUACUAUAAUCACUUAUAGUUCCAGGGCUGUUUUGUUGUUGGUUCUUUUGGCUAUUCUGCAUAGACGAUCAUGUCAUCUGUGAACAAAGGACAUUUUCUUUUUUCCUCAUCUGUAUACCCUUUGCUUUCUUUUCUUGUCUUAUUGCAUUAGCUAGUACUUCCAGGACAAUGUUGAAAAUCAGUCAUGACAGGGGACAACCUUGCCUUGUUGUUUUUUUUUUUUUAUCUUAGUGGAGAAGCUUCCAGUUUCUCUCCAUUAAGUCUGAAAUUGACUGUGGAUUUUUGAGGAUUCUCUGCAACAAUUGUUCCUAGUUUACUGAGGGUUUCUUUUUUUAAUCAUGGAUGAGUAUUGGAUUUUGCGAAAUGCUUUUUUUGCAUUUAGUCAUAUGUUCAUGUGACUUUUCGUUUUUAGCCUCUUCAUGUGAUAGAGUACAUUAAUUGAUUUUUGAACAUUGAAACAGCUUUGCAUACUUGGGAUAAAUACCACUUGGUCAUGGUGUAUAAUUCUUUUCAUACAUUGUUGGAUUUAAUUUACUAAUAUUUUGUUGAGGAUUAUUGCAUCUAUUUUCAUGUGAGAUACUGGUCUGACAUGUUUUUUUCUCUCAAUACCGUUUCUGGUUUUGGUAUUAUGGUAAUACUGGCCCUAUCAAACGAGUUAGGAAGUAUUCCUUCUCCUUUCUAUCUUCUGGGAGAGAUUGUAGAUAAUUGUAUAAUAUAUUGCUUAAAUGUUAGGGAGAAUUCACAAGUGAACACAUCUGGGCCUGGUACUUUCU